AUUGAACGCUGGCGGAAUGCUUUACACAUGCAAGUCGAACGGCAGCACGGGUGCUUGCACCUGGUGGCGAGUGGCGAACGGGUGAGUAAUACAUCGGAACGUACCCAGUCGUGGGGGAUAACGUAGCGAAAGCUACGCUAAUACCGCAUACGUCCUGAGGGAGAAAGCGGGGGACCGUAAGGCUUCGCGCGAUUGGAGCGGCCGAUGGCGGAUUAGCUAGUUGGUGGGGUAAAGGCCUACCAAGGCGACGAUCCGUAGCGGGUCUGCGAGGACGGCCGGCCACAAUAGAACGGGGACACGGUCCAGAAUCCUACGGGAGGCAGCAGUGGGGAAUUUUGGACAAUGGGCGAAAGCCUGAUCCAGCCAUUCCGCGUGAGUGAAGAAGGCCUUCGGGUUGUAAAGCUCUUUCGGCAGGGAAGAAACGGCUUGGGAUAAUACCCCGGGCUAAUGACGGUACCUGAAGAAGAAGCACCGGCUAACUACGUGCCAGCCGCCGCCGUAA
rnacentral:rRNA from 1 species